UUGUUCUUAAUAGCAUUUGACUGAGCCC
rnacentral:piRNA from 1 species